AUCGUUAUUUAUCCUCUAUGUAAAUUGUAUUUAAAGCAAAGUAUGAAAAAUUUUAAACUCACUUUCAACUAUCAAUUCUGCCUUGAAUUGGAUACAUGAAUCACGGAUUCAAAUGAUGUUAUAUUAAUUUAUGGAACAGAGAAUAAUUAUUUACAAUAUAAAUUUACUAUUAAUUUUAAGAUUGACAAACAUGACUUGAACUUUAGCCCACUUUUGCUUGGUAGCUGAAAACAUUUAUCUUUUAAAUUGACAAUUAUUUUAAAAAUUGAGUCACAUGGCACCUCACUUAGAAUGAUAACCGACAUAAUGUGAAAAGCUCUCUCUUUACGUCUUCCAUGGAUAUUGACCACAAUCCUCAACAACCGUCUCCCCUACACUCUGUAAAUUCAACCUUUGUAACCCCAACUUUCACAUACAAAGUGCUUCAAAAUGACCUCUUCCCAAACUUCAUGGGCUCUUCGGUGACGGACGGCCUUCAAGAUGAGGUCACCCCGUAAAAUUUUGAAGGUAAUUUUAUUCCACUAUCAGUGGAUGAUAAAUCACGGCUUUACUCACUUUGGCAGAAGUCCUUGAUUGUUAAGAUGGUGGGUCAAAAAUUGGGCUACUUAGUCUAAAGAAAAAGUUACAGGAAUUAUGGAAACCUUUCGAAGAAUUAAAUUUGAUCGAUUUGGGUUCCAAAUUCUUUCGGAUUAAAUUCACUCUGUUGCAAAACAUUCUACACGCUCUUCAGGACGGGCCAUGGUUCAUCUUCAACAGCUUUGUAUCUGUACAAAAGUGGGAACCAAAAUUUAUCGCUUCACAAGCUCGGCUUACUCACACUGCAAUUUGGAUCCGUUUACCCGAACUACUUACGGAGUUUUACGACAUAUAUGUCCUUUAUAAGGUUGGUGUAAGGAUUGGGAAGUUGCUCAAGAUAGACACUUGCACUUCAACAACUUCUCGAGGUAGAUAUGCGCAUUUGUGUGUACAAGCUCCUCUGGAACAACCACUAUUACAUCAUCUAUACAUAGGAUCUCAUAAAUAAGUGAUUUGAUACUAAGCGGCUUCCUUACUGUGUAUUGACUAUGGACGACUUGGACAUACUACUCGUUGUCCAUAUAAAAUACCUUUGCUCGAACACUCACAUUCGGAUGAUAAGUAUAGUGGUGAAUCAUUGCAAUUUUUUGAGACUAUGAAAGAACAAAAAUAAAGGGAAGAAGAAGAUGAAGGCUGGCAGCUUGUUAGGUUCCCGUUCAGAUAGCAGCGCUGUUCAUCCGACAAAGGAAAGCAAAUUGUUCAACAGCCAGGUAAAGGCCCUUCUGGGCUAAUUCGGGUCAAUGAUCCCACUUUAGAAGGCACCUUUGCUAGGCCUUUCCUAAAAAAAAACUUGUAGGUAAAAGGCCUACAUAAUUUCUCCAUUCCUAAAGGCCCAGGUAAGUCUCAAACCUCUAAUUUAUUUAAUUACCCAAAUGGCUCCUUUACUGAUAAUGGAAAACUAGUACAUUUUAAUGUAGGGCCCACUGACUUUCCUGAUUUAAAAUUUCCUGCUCCUAAUAUUCAUAAUUCUCAACCUCUUAAUUUUGUUUUCACCAAUGGCACGAGGCCAACCCUUUCUCAAAUUUUGGCUCCAAUUUUGGCUAUUAGGGCCCAUGUGGAUACCGUGCAUGACAAUUUAAUCUCUACUCACGUAAGUACUUCUGAUAAUUCUCCUGAAGUUUACCAUUUAAAUGAUUACUCUUCAUAUGAGAAUAAUGAUCUAUUAACUGUUCAGCUAUCACCUUCUCCAACUCUCAUUGCUCAAUUACACAUUUCUGAACCUCUCCGUAGUAGCACUACCACUAUAAAUAAAUCACUCUCAAAUCUGCCGAGUCAAGGGUUUGCAUAUCCAUCAUAGUCCUCUAUAUCCACUACAACAAAUUUACCAAUACUCCCUACUGAUGGAAUAAGGGAACGACCGCUACCCCUACAAAAUAUGUACCUCAAUGAAUCUGAUCCCUCUUUACCCUCCGCAAUCAUGGCUGGAGGUGGCUUUAACGGGUCAGGCCCUCUCCUUUACCAUGAAAGUGAAUGAACAAGAAUGUCGUGUUCUGAUUCAAAACCCUCAGGAUCUAGCCCAAAUCAUAACGAAGGGAAUAGCGUGAGAAACGAAAGUGUUCAACGAUCCACCAGCUAUGAGUCAAUCCCUUUUGAAACUUCCAUUAUACCCACUGCCACAGGGGAAGGGUUCAGUGCCAUGGAUUCAGCCUCACAUGAUGGUAGUUGCGAUGGAUCCCAAAGCCCAAGUCCUUCCUGUGACUAUGAACUCUAUUCUACCACCGAAAGCUUCAAAUAUGGAAGAAGGAGGGAUGGAAAUAACAUCCACCUUUUUGGAUCAGGUACGGGUCUUUCUACUCAAAGAACUGUGUGAAAAAAAAUAAGCGUAAAAUAUCCCAAAAAUAUGGUCAAGUGCUCGGUUAAUGUACGACCGAAUCUCAAUCCCGACGUGGGGAAAUAUGCUAUCAUCAUGAGUCCUAAUCUGAGGGACACUGACUUUUUAGAAGCUUCUCCCCAAAGGCCUCUUACUUUUACUCGCCCAAUGAAUUUUUUGAUCUAGAAUUGUAGAGGUUCUACUUCCCCUGACUUUAAAAAUCACUUCAAGGAUCUUCUUGAUUUGUAUAAUCCUUCUUUGGUAGACCUGUUAGAAACCCAUAGGAUGAACCAUCAGACUAUGCCCAACAAAUUUCGUUUCUCAAAUGUCACUGCUAUCCUGGCCUUAGGACAAGUAGGGGGGAUUGCUAUCUUGUGGAAAGUAGACCUUUUGAAUGUUAUGGAAGUCACUAUGUCUCAUCAAGAUAUUCACUGUAGAGUUCAGGUAAUCCCUUCCCCAAAUAAAUGGUUAUUUACUGCUAUUUAUGCUUAUAGUAAUAAAAUGAUCGAAUGAUUCUUUGGGAUAAUCUAAAAUAUGUAGCUGACUCCGUUGCGGGACCUUGGUUAAUAGGUGGUGACUUUAAUGAAAUUUGUAAUUCUAGAAAAAAAUUUGGUGGCUUACAUUCCCAUGUACUGAUCGUAUACCCGUUUCUUGCGCUAUGAUGUUUCAUAUCAUAGGUUCGAACACUCAGGUUCCUGACCACGCUUAGCCAGAUUCAGCCAGCAGUAGCAGAUUUAGCAGUGAGUCAUCAUCUAUUGAGGAUAUGCUUUUAUUUCAGUACUUCAGCUUAGCAGUAUUUUAGUAGAUGGAGUUAGUUGAGGGAUUAUCCCAUUAACUCUAUUUUCAGACAAAUUCAGUUAGAGGCUUUUCAGACUAGAUUUUUAGAUAGUAUUCAGUUUUAUAGAUGUUAUAUUUUAUCAGUAUUUUAGAUGUUUUGAACCUUAUGGCAUUUCAUCCCUUUAUUCCGCAUUUAUUUCAGUAUUAUGGUUCAGUGCUCACAAAAGAUAUCAUUCAUAGGUUAGCUUAAGGUCCUUCGGGGUCGCAAGCAUCGUGUGACGACUAGGGGGUAGUCUCGGGUCAUUACAAGGACAAAUAAAAAGAAUCAAGCAGUACUGAUAUAAAAGACCUCGAGAAUUUUGAAGUCACCAAGUAGAAACAUGAGAUAAUCUAGAAUAAUGCACGAGCUUUAAGUUUACUUCUUUUUGCAGUAAGCGGAGAAGAUAUGACAAAAUAUCAACUUAUGAGACCACAAAACAGAUAUGGGAUAAAUUAAAGGUGACUUAUAAAGGAACCACCAAAGUCAAGAAGUCAAAUAUUGCUGCCCUAGUGAAUGAAUAUGAGUUGCUUAAGAUGCAAUAAAAUGAGAAAAUCGAAUCAAUGUUUUCUAGAUUUAGCAAAAUUGUAUGCGAACUAAAAUCAUUAGGGAUUAUCUAUCCAUACAGCCUACUAGUCCAGAAGCUGAUUAGUAGCCUCCCUAAAGUAUGGGAAACUAAAGCUACCAUUUUGGAAGAUGGAUGCCUUCACAACAAGACAUAUGAUGAGUUACAAGGUAAUGUUAUUGUAUACGAAUGAAAUUAUAUCAACAGGUACAACAAGAAAAAAAAUAGAACCAAGUAGCCUUCAAUGUCGUACCAACUGAAGAGAAAGAUCUUCUGAAAGAAUCUAAUAGCAAAGGAAUGGCUUUUAUAAACCGAGGAGUAAGGAAAAUAUGAAAUAUAGACAACAGAGAUCCCAAAGAUUUAGAAACAAUGAUUCUACAAAAACUAAUGAUCACUGCUAUCAUUGUGGAAGGAUAGACCACUUUAAACAAAAUUGUCUAGAAUUAAGAAGAAGAUCAUCUAAACAAAUAAAAAAUUUGGCUCCUGGAGUGAUGAAGAUUAAAUUGAAGAAGAAAUAGAAGCAACCAACAUGUGCUUUAUGGCAAAAGUUGAAUCAAGCGAGGUAAGACCACAUGACUAUCAUAAUUAAAAUAUUCUUAAAUCUAAUUUAGAUAUGAUAAUUGAUGAGAUUCAAAUAGUUAUAGAUGAAUACAAUAAACUUGAUAAAAGAAAAAAAAUUGGGAAGCUUUACUUAAACAAAAGAUUGUAGGGGAACGAAGAAACUGCCAGGUUGAAAUUGAAGCAGGUAAAAUCGUAGUCGAUUUACUUCAAGAAGAGCUUGAUGUUGUAAAAAUUCAAUUGAGUAGCAUUAAAAAACACCAAUCCAAAAUUUUGUAAGAUAAAAUUCAGUUAAAACCAACUCAAGUUCCUCAGCAAGAUCGUUUAAAUCAUCUAAGACCUCUUUCUCUUUUCAAAGAAUUAUUCGCUAUACCUGUGGACAUAAAGGGCAUAAAUCAUACAACUCCAGGCAAAAUCUUAAAGGUGUAUGGGUUUGGAGGCCUAAAGAAAGUAUAUAUCGCAAGGAUCCAAGAGCACUUAGGUACCUAAGCAAAAUUGAUUUUCUUAUUUUCCAGGAACAUGUCUGCAAAAGCUAUAAAAAGGAAAUAUGGGUCACUGAUAGUGGAUGUUCUAGAAAUAUGAUAAAAAAGAAGUACAAUUUUAUUCUAUAAAGAAAAUAGAAGGAGGAUUAGUCAGAUUUGGUGAUAAUGCUAAGGGCAACCUUAUCCUAGUUGACUUAGUAAAUCUCAACUGAUCAUGUGAACUUAUUGAAGUAUAUAUUUUAAACGGACUAAAAAACAACCUACUCAGCAUCAGUCAGCUGUGUGGCACAGGAUUUAGAGUCUCCUUUAAAGCUGAAAGCUGCUCCAUCAAACAUGACAAAUGAGACAUUUCUUUUAUCGGUGAACAUAUUGAGAAUAUUUGAGUUUUAAAUAGUCCUAAUUUUGCUACCCUUACCUACCUCACUGUCCAAACUAAUGAUGCUUGUUUAUGGCAUAAAAAGCUUACGCAUGCUAGUAUGUACAUAAUUGAGAAACUCUCAAGAUUAGAAUUGGUGAAAAGUUCACCAAAACUCAAGUUUUAGAAGGAUCACAUUUGUGAUGCCUUCCAAAAACAUACUCGAACAUCAUUAAAAUUCAAAGAUAUUAUCUCAACUACAAAACCCCUUAAAAUAAUCAACGUGGAUUUGUUUGGCACCACCAAGGUCGCAAGUAUAGGUGUGAAAAGCUAUGUUUUUUGUUAUUGUUGAUGAUUAUUCUCAUUUUACCAGUGUAAUGUUUCCCUCUUAUAAGCAUGAGGCUUUCACAAAUUUUGAGAUUUAUUGUAGAAAAGUACAAAGAGAAGCAGGACAUUUCAUCACCUAUGUACAUAAUGACCAUGUAGGAGAAUUUAAGAACAAGGUUUUCAAGGAAUACUAUGCUCAGAAUGGAUACUCUCAAAACUUCUCAUCACCUCAAUCUCCCUAAUAAAAUGGUGUGGUAGAACUAAAGAAUUGUUCCUUUCAAGAGACUGCAUGAACCAUACUACUAGAACACAACCUUCCAGAUCACUUUUGGGCAAAGGCAGUAAGCACAAUAUGCCAUAUCAUCAACAGAUGCCUCAUUAGACCCAUUCUAAAGAACAUGCCUUAUAAGCUGUAGAGAGAAAAAAGCCAAACAUUAGCUACUUUCAUCUUUUUGGAUAUAAGUGUUUCAUCCACAACAACGGUAAGAAUAACUUAGAAAAAUUUGAUCCAUGAAGUGACAAAGGUAUUUUUCUUGGGUACUCUCCCACCGUCGCGCUUGCAUGUCUUAUAAUAAAAGAACGUUAUGUGUUAAAGAAUAUAUGAAUAAUGUAUUUGAUGAAACUAAUUACCCUUAUAUGAGUUUAAGUAUUGAUGAAGAAUAGGUGAGUAAUCCAUAAUCUAAAGCUAAUGCUAGCAUUGCUCCCAAUCUAUCACAAGGAAAGUCGACUACAUCCCUUUCGGAGUUGAAUCCCAAAGUUGAGAUAGUCAAAACAACUAUUCCAAGAUAAUGGAAACACAAUUCUAGGUAUCCAAAUAUGUUUAUCAUCAAAUAUCGAGAUGACAAGAUGCAGAAAAGAGCCUCAUUGAGAAAGCAAGAAUCUGUUGCCCUUGUAUCUCAAAUCAAACCAAAAAAGAUUGAUGAGGCCCUCAAAGAUGACUCCUAGGUUGAGGUUAUAAAGGAAGAAUUGGGAAAAUUUAAACAAAAUCUAGUCUAGACUCUUGUUGAAAUACUCAAGAACUUAUCAGUAAUUGGAACUAAGCGGGUCUACAAGAAAAAAUUAAACAAAGAAGGUAAGGUUAAUAGAAACAAGGCCAAACUUUUAGCUCAAGGUUACUCCCAACAAGAAGGUAUUGAUUAUGAUAAAACUUUUUCUCCUAUAGCAAGGUUUGAAUAAAUUCACAUUUUGCUAGCGGUUGCUACCUUUAAAUACUUUAAGUGGUAUCAAAUGGACGUCAAAAGUGCCUUUAUAAAUGGAUUCAUUCUUGAAGAAGUAUUUGUAAGGAAACCCCCUAUAAUUGAAAAUCCAUCCUAUCCAAAUCAUGUUUUGAAAUUAUCAAAAGCACUUGAUGGUCUCAAACAUGCUCCAAAGGCCUGGUAUGAGAGGUUGAGUACUUUUUUUUAAUUAAUAAUUUCCAAAGAGAAAAAAAUUAUUCAACUUUAUUCAUACAAAAGCUUGACUCAAAUGUUCUUAUGUGCAAAUUUAUGCUGAUGCUCUUAUUUUCAGUAGUUCUAACAUCUCCUUGUGUGAGAAUUUUUCUAAUCUGAUGAAAGGAGAAUUUUAAGUGAGCCUUAUGGGUGAGCUAACAUUUUUUUUUGGGAUUGUAAAUCAAGCAAACACCCAAAGGUGCCUUCAUUAGUCAAGCCAAAUACACAAAAGAGCUUAUCAAAAAGUUUGGUAUGGAAAAAAGAAAGUCCUAUGGAACCCCAAUGAGUCCAUCCACAAGUAUUUAUUCAGACUUAUCUCGUAAAGAUAUUGAUGAAAAUAAGUAUAGGGGAAUGAUUGGAUCACUUCUUUACUUGACCACCUAUUGACCAGACAUUAUGUUCAGUGUAUGCAAAUGUACAAAGUUCCAGUCAACUCUCAAAGAGUCCCAUCUGAUUGCAGUCAAAAGAAUAAUUCAGUAUCUCAUCGGAUCAAACACUAGACUAUGGUAUCCCUACUCUUCUCAUUUUGUAUUAAUUAAAUAUUUAGACGUUGACUUUGCAGGUGAUAAAAAUGAUAGAAAAAUCACUAGUGGAACAUGCCAAAUUCUUGGUGAUGCUCUAAUUUCAUGGCAUAGCAAAAAACAAACUUUAGUUUUCUAUCAACAACUGAAGAUGAAUACAUAGCAGUAGGAAGCUGUGGUGCUCAAAUUUUAUGGAUUAUAUAUCAACUACUUGAUUUUAAUUUUUCUUUUGAAUCUAUACCUAUAAUGUGUGAUAAUAUCAGUGCUAUUAGACUGUCUAAAUAUAUUGUGCAUCAUUCCAGGGCUAAGCACAUUGAUAUUAAACAUCAUUUUAUUCAAGAUCAUGUAGAAAGUGGUGAUUUUUUUUCUGAGCUUUGUUGAUUCUAAAAAUCAAUUAGUAGAUAUUUUUACCAAACCCCUAUUAAAAGAAAGAUAUUGUUUCCUUAGAAAAAGACUUGGUAUUAUUAGUAUUAAUGACAUGAGUUUUAUCUUUGGAAAUUCUUUAUUUUUUUACUGCUUUACUUUCAAAGUUUUGAAAAUUGGUUUUAAAAAUAAAGGGAGUGUCAUCAUUACUUUCACCGCUUCAUACGCCACCCCUGCCUCCACUAUAAAUUCUUACCUUCCCAAUAUCCCCCUCUACUAUCCUUUAACUUACAUCAGUUAUCUCAUUCUCUUUACCCCUUUUCAUCUUUCUUUAGUUUAGUCCUCCUUUCAUCUUUCCAUCCUUUCAUCUUCCCCUUCACUCCUUUAAAACUCCCAUUCAAACUCUUAAUCGAUGAACAGAACUCAUAUAAUGGUCAUUCUUUCCACAUACCUUCCCAAACCUCUCUCUGAUAAUCAUGUUCUUCACUCUAACUCCUCUUAAGAAUCUUUUUCCGAUUCAUAAUAGUCAACUAUAAUAAAAUAAUGUCCAGCCCCAGCCCAUACUCUCCAGUCAAGAAACCUCAUCCCAACACCGAGGACAUGAACAAGUUAUGUACAUACUCACAAAAGAAAUUUUUCUCAGCCUUUAAAAGUUUCUCUAUUAUACACGGUCGGGUAAUCAAUCUCUGCCAAUUAAAGGAAGCCCAUUGCACUAUCAGUCACUUCUUAAAAUUUCAAGACUUUUCAUAAGUUUUUAGUCUAUGUUGACUUGAAGCCUAUAAGGAUCCUAUUCAAAUAUUUUAUGAAAAUCUCCAUCUCUCUCUUGACAGCGAUAAACUUGAGACUCUUGUACUUGGCACAAGAAUCAUACAGAAUGACUUUCUAUUUGAAAAGGUAUUUUAUACAGAGUUUUUUGGUGCAAUCCCCAUUAGGAAUGGCUCCUGUACUGAGAAUUUUAAAAUUAGAUUUGAAGAAGAUAAAAAAGAUCUUGUUCGACCCAGACACAACGUUUGUUAGUUUGGUCCCUUGUUUUCAUGAUUUAAGAACUACAUCAUGGCCAACAUCAUCGCCAUCACACUGAUUCCAAGGAAGCUAUCCCUCAGCAACGUUACUUUCCAUGAUGUGUUCUUCCUAUUUUUAUUGGUGAAAAGGCAAAAGAUAAAUUAGGCUACUUGGAUCUGUAAAUAUAUGCUUGAGAGUACAGCGGAAGUUCAUCCUUUCUCCAGUCUACCAUAUGAAUUGUUAAUUACUCUAAUUCUUCUAUACUACUCUAUUGACCUCUCUCAUACCCCCCGAUUAACAUCUCCACUACGUAUGACUCCAAAACUUUUUCCAGCAUGGGAUUAUUCUUGGUAGAAAAUGAAUGGUGCAAGGAUGACUUUGCCUGAGCAAAAUCUAAUAUCCCUAAUUUAUGCAAGUUUGUUUCUAACCCCAUACUCCUUGUAUUGAAGAAACUGGAGGACCUUAAGGACCACUUCAAAACUAUUGAUGAAGGAGUAAUGCUACUUCAGGAGUCAACUUCCAAGGUGCUAGAUAUUGGGAAGAGCACAAGCACAGAUAUAGGCACUGUCUGGAUGACACUUGUCGACUUUAAACAAGAAGGCAUAAAAUUGUUCUCUAGAGUGUUUACUCGUAUGGACUCCUUCAAGUUUCAAUUUAACUCCUCUAAUGAAGAUCUUACGAUAUCCUUCAAAAACUCCUACUCCUUAUUCUUUACAAAUGUUGAAAAAUCUUAUGAAAAAUUCUGCCAUAACAUGUACAACACCCUCACAUAUUUCCUAGCCAAGCGGUGAAUGAUGACUUUUAUUCAGAAGGGGGUCCUAUCCCAUUUUUUGGGUUGUAAAAUGAUUUUUACACACUGUUUGCUACACUUUCAACUGCUUUGUUUAAAUCCUUUGGUAAUCACUUAGACUGCUUAUUUAAUCUAUGUCUACCAUUUUGUCUGUCUAUUGUUGUGUUCUUUUUUACUAUGCCAAAAAGAGGAGAAAGCAACAUCAGAGGUGCCUACAAGUCAUGGGGAGAAAGUUGACUAUCAAAGGAUGAGAGUCAACUGAUCGUGCCUGUAAGACAGGGAGAUCAAGUCAACCAUCAAAAGAUAAGAGUCAACUGAUGCUCAAAGAAAAUAAAAAACAUUGAAGGCACUGAAGAUACCUCUACUUUUCCUGAGUAGAGUUAGGUGGAUCAGCUUGGUUUGUUUGUUCAUUAUGGUGAAGUGCUUUUUGGUGCAUAUCCGAGCACUAUCUAUCGUCGUUGACCAUUGUUCAUGCAAAGUUAAUCUUUCGGAGAUAGGGUGAGCUCUUAGAGUUUUGAGUCGUCCAUUUGUACUCUAUCUUAUUUUUAUUUAGUUUUUGUAUCGAGACAGGUGUAUUAACUAUAUUCUAAGACUUUUGGGUUGUAUUAAUAACAUUAGGUACUCUUGCACUAGCUCUACCAGGUCAUGGGAUUGGCAUGAUUGUUUUUAUAUUUUAGAACACUUUAUUUAUUUAUAACUUGUGUUCAUUGAAUUUAGCCUAUAAUGGGAAUUCCUUACCAAAUUAACCCAUUUAUUUAGCUCUGGGUUAUGGUAUUGGCUCACCUACUAGUAGGAUUUAGUAGGUGUCAUCAUGGAUCCUAAAUUGGGUUAUGACAUAUAUAAAUGGCCGGGUUAGAAUUUAGAUCAAGAACGGACACGCAAGGCCUACAUAUGAAAUCCAGAAUUAAAUCCAUCAUGAAGACCCUCAAAAGACAAGGAAUGUAUGCUAAAAAAUUGAGCACACAUGGUGCAUAAAUCAUGGCCCAAAUCAGCCCUUAAAGUCUAGGAAUUUGAAGACAUAAUUUCUAAGAAUAUAUAAUUAAAUGGGAUGAAAAUUGAUAGGGAAAAUAACUGGAUAUGACCAAGGAGUGUUAGGCUAACUUACCUUAGUUUUAAUUGAUGAUUGCCCACUCUUUCCAUCUCUUUAAGCUACAAAAAUGGUGGGAAAAUGUUGGGAAAUUAGAUGAAUAAAGGGGAUUUAACAAUCCCUAGGUGCCGCUACAGCGGUCACUUGUCCGCUUAAGCAGAAACCACUUAAGCGGAACAAGUCCUCUAAAAUGGUUAGUCCAUGGAACCCAGGCAUCGCUAAACUAGUUUCAUAGACUCUAAAGCAAUGUUUGCUUAAGUGAUCCUUGACCGCUAAAGUGAACCUCAACCAACUGGCCAAACCGCUAAAAUGUAUAAGGCUCGCUAAGAAAACUACCACUCAUGAGGCUAAAGGUUCGCUUAAGCGGUUGCACCAGACUAUGUCGGGCACUAGAUUUUGCUAAGUCUAAAAUGGGCUCUAAUUGGGUGCUCGAGAUUCAUUUGGAACCCUAAAACUUUGAUAUUCUGGACUCAAUGGAACCCUUGAAACUUUAAUCCAAGAUCGUUUUGACUAAAUGCGGUGCCUACUCCUAUAGUUCUAUUUUCAUAAAAUCCACCUAAUAGCCCAAAAUUAGUCCAAAAGCUAUAUGAAUUGAACCAAAAGUCCCCCUAGCCUAAAAUCAAUGUUGCAGAUCUGAUAGAACUAUUAGAAUUCUCAUUCAAGGUUGUUUACUAGGAUUUUUCAUUCAAGACCAAAUUCUUAACAUCGAAAGCUCUAAAAUAGGAAUGAGCCUAAAACCCAAAUGAACUAUCUAAUAAUCAAACUAACAUUUUUGGCAUGGCAUAUAUGACCUGCAGCUACUGUAGGAAGGCUUGAAAGGACAAAAAUGUGUAUAAUCAAGGAAAUGACCAGGAGGGUCAUUAUAGGUCCCAAGCCUUUAUAUUUUGUUUUCAAUGUUUAGACGAAAAUUAGCUAAAAUAGCCUAAUAGAGAUCUUGGGAGAAAAAUUAUUUGAAAUGACAUUUUUCCUUAAAAUUUUUUAAUCCAUUAUAUUCGUAACAUGUUUUAUGAUCAAUUUGAACUAUUGGUCAUGUUCAUAGUGUUUCAGAUGUGUAUCGAGGGUCCAAAAAAGUUUCAAAAGUUGUUCAUGUUGGUGUUGCCGCUUAAGCGGCUAUUGACUAUUUAAAUGGGUCUCUUAAGCAACCAUUUGGGUUCUUAAGCGGUAUUUUGACCCUUUAACCACUUACUUAAUAGAAAAAAGUGUCACUUAAGCAACCAUCGCUGAGUAUAAGACCUAAAUUGAAUCUGUUUUGUAUUUUUGGUAUUUUAGGAGCUACACAAUUUUGUUUUUAAUGAUUCUCGAUAUGUUUUUCUCAUAUAAUGAUGGUCUAUGUGAUUAUAACAUCAUAUUCUCAUUUUCCAAGAGUAGACAUUUAUUUUUUUCAUAAUUUUGAACUUAAAUAGUGAUUCAAAAUCCCUUUUCUGCCAUUGUUGGAGCUUGAAACAUCGAAAAUUGUGCAAAAUUAUUCAUUAAUGCUAAGGUAAAAUAAUUCCAAACCUCUUGAUCAUUUUCUGUUAUAUUUCCCCAUCAAAUUGUUAACUUUGGGGGCUGAUUUGUUCCUUAAUUUGAGCUCCAUUUGGAGCAUACAUUCCUUAUCCUUCGAGGAGCCUCGUGAUAAAUUCAAUUUUAUUGCAUUUGCGGGCCCUGUGGAAUCGUUCUUAACUCAAUUUUGACCUGAAUAUUUUUAUAGAAAUAUAGGUAUUAUUUAAUUUCUAUGAUGUGUAAAUUAUUAUUUUGACAGUGUGGUAGUAUUUGAAGAUCAUGGAUUAAAGACGAACGAUUUAUGGAUAAUUCAAGAAUUACGAUUCAACAUCGAUAUAGGGUUUAGUCUAUUUUUCUCUAGGAGAUUAUAUAUAGUAUGGAUUUCAUGAUAUGUAAGGAGUAUAGGAUAUGUUUAUGACUAGUACAUCAUGACUUAGCCUAUUUAGAAAAUUUGGGACUCGAAAGGUGACACGACCCUCAGGAUGAAAUACUUUUUAUGGAUAUAGGACCCUUUUACCCUUAACUAAAAUCAUGUUAACCAUAGUUUGAUAUUAAUGAUUCCAUAGUAUAUGAUUUAUCAUUUGACGUAGUGAUUGAGAUGUGAUUCUAGUAUAUAGAUUCUUAGGCACUAAUUGUUAUAUUAUUUGCAUACUGGUAAUGGCAUGCAGAAUUUUAGGCACAUGCAUGGUCACUUAGUAUUAUGUUUCCAACCAAAACCACGAUUUUACUAUUAUUUUUAGAAAAGGAGUUUACUUUCACUUUUUAGUUUUAGAAUAGAUUCUUUAAUAAUGGGAAUUAUACAGCCUUAUUUAAUGAUUUAUAAGUUUAACCUAGAUAUGAUAUUUUGGGAAUUAUAAAAAUAUUGAUUUUGGUUCGUUGUUUAUCCACUCUUUUACCACUACUAUUUAGUUCAAUCGAGAGAGAUUUUGUCCUUUUCUAAGUUAUUUUGCUGAUUUAGUGUCACGACCCUAGACUACCCCCUAGUCAUAACAUGGUGCUUGGAACCACAAGUGAUCCCAAGCUAACCCAUGAACUGGCAUACUAUUAAGAAACUAAUUUAUAAUAUAUUAAAUAGCUAGUUAUGCUAUGCAGAAAUAAAAUCAUGACAAAAUCUGGGGAAAAUAUAAUACAAAUACAAUUUAUAAUCUGGUAAAACUGAAGAGAGAACUGAAAUUAAAUGACUGACUCUGAGUGACACCUAUGAAGCCUCUACUAUAAUAACUGUAGAUAGCAGGGACAUGACUCCAGCUACCAUUAAUCAAUACAUAUGAGUAAUAAAGAAAAGUACAUGAACAACACCUGGCUGAAGUCCCUAAAGUAGGAGAACUCAUCACUUGUUGCCUGGAAAACUGCAACUGUCUAAUCAUGAUGUGUGGACUACAAUUGGUACCUAUAUUAUUAAACAAUGUAGCCACAAAGAUGUAUAUGCAGAUCAGUACUUUUGAAAUAUACUGAGUAAGCUGGGGUAAAUGCAAUCAGUAAAACUGAUUUUAUAUGAAAUGUUAAAGCAUGUAUGCUAAGUGUAAGUUGACUUAACAAGAGACUAAAAUAGACUAAAAGAUGAAAUAUCUUAAAACAUAAAUAGUAACAUAAUCUAAUAAGCUAGUGAAUCAGUACACUUAGUUUCUUAAAACAUUACUUUUAUAAUAUGAGUAGAACGGAAGCUGGACGACAGUAAAACAUGGAUACUGUAUGAAUACUAGGUUAUGUAAGACUGAACUGUACUUCGUCUAAAUAACUGGACUAAAAUUGUAGAGUACUAUGCAUAUAAGUUAAGGACUAACUGAGCAACAUGAGCUAACUAAGCAUGAAUGCGUGAAAACUCUAUUAUCUAAGAAUGCAAUACUAAGUGUAUAUCUAUUAUUUUACUAUGAUAAAUCUAAAAUUUGAAAGAUUGAAAGCUGUAAAAUUGAGUAUCUAAAAGUCUGUACACUUAUUCAAGCAAACCUGAACUGAAAAUACAAUGAAUAUUGACUGAUACUUUGGGAGCUAUAAUGUAACCAACAUAAACUAUGUGAGCUAUUAUGGAGUUCAACAUCUGACCUACGUUGUGAAGGGUUGUUCUAUCCUUGCCAUCAGAAUAGAACUUGAACUGUAGUGAUCACUAAACUAAUGUCCCAAAAGACUGGGGAGUCAAGCCUAAACUGAAGGGUGACCCCUCAAAUACUAUGCUGGAUAUAUAGUUCUGGAACACCGGGACUGCUACUAACGAAUCUGCCUAACAGAUGUGUUAGCCGCCAUCCCUGCAUUCGCUCGGUGCUAAAUCCUUCUCCCAAAUAAAAGACAUUGAAAUACUAACUAGUGCAUGCACUGAUAACUGAUAACUGAUAAGCUCAGGUCAUGGUAUUCUAAAAAUAGCAUGCAUUCUGCUUCUAGAUAAUUAUUAACAUAUAAACUGAUAAUGCUCAUCAUGAAUAUGAAUAUCUGACUAUACUGGUAAGAUUCAUAGAUUAACUGUCUGAGUACUUGGAAAGCUAAAUUUGUGUAAAUUAGAUAGGUAUCAGGUGUUCAUAACCCACCAACACUGAAUAGAUAUAAAAUAUGAUAUCAAACUUGAAAUACUAUAUUAAGUGAUUAUGGUUCAAAGACCCAAACAUGGAAUUUAAUCAAACACGUGAAGAUCAUGACUUUAAACAUGAGAAUUCUUUUUAAUAUGAGAAAAUAGAAUGAUUACAUAAUUAAAAUCAUAAAUUAGUGAUUUAUUCUGAAUCAACUGAACAUGAUAUAGGAACUAUAAUAUUUAAAACAUUUUGUAACUCAUUCCACUUGAAAACACUUAUAAUCUUAACUAGAAAUUGAAUUAACAAGAGAUUCAUGAAGAUAGUUCAACAUAAACAUGAAAAGCUCAGAGUUUAAAACAGAAAAAGGGUUUUAGGGCUCCAUGGGUGAAAGAGGACCCAUGGAUGAACUCCCACAUACCUUAAGAUUCUUAAAUUGGGAAAGAAACGCCAUUUUUGAAGCUUCCUUGAAGAUUCUUGAACUUGGGAAACUUGGAUUCUUGAUUUCUUGGGGAAAAAGGAAUUGAAUUUGUUCUUGGGCAAAGGAAAUGAUUUUCUUAAGAGGAAAAUUGGGGAAGGAGGGCAAAAUUAUGCCCUAACUGAUGCCCAAAUCAUGUUAUGAACGAUUGGGUUGGGGGGGAUGACUCAAUUUCCCCUAAAUCAUUUAAACCAAAUAUUUUUAACUGGAAUGCGGAUUAAAGGCUCAUCACGUCGCAGUCUAAUCGUGGUGGCUUAGUGGUUCUGACAAAAAUGACAAUAACUUUUCGCUCGGGUAUUCGAUUAAUACCAAAUCGGUAUCAUUUGAAAGAUAAUUCAAAUAUAUACAGUUUGGUAGGUUUUGAUCUAAAAAAUUCCACAUAUAUCCAAAGUUUUAUACAUUCAAAGUUGACCCUUGUAGAAUUGAAUACCAACUUUUGGACGAAUCAAAGGCUCUUAGCUCAACAUUAUUCUAAGUGAUUUCUAUGAACAGUUAUCACCUAAUAAGCACUUCACAUGCUAGAAUAAUGAUCAUGACACAUUCAUUCAAAUUAUAAAUCAUGAACUGGAUAAAAACACCUUUACGGGGAUGCGAUGUAUGUGCCAAAGGGAAUGUCACCGCGUCGCAGCCCUAUUGCGGUUACUUUCUAGAUUCGUGAUCCAAACGUGACCCAAACAUUGUUUGAAAAAUCUAAAACUCCCUUGAGACAUACUUCUUACAUCCUUGAACAUGAAUUAAGUCAAAACUAAUAUCUCAGGGGUCAAGAAGACUAAAAUUAAAAUCCUCAAAGUUUAGGAGUAUUGAAAACGACUAAGUCCCCAAAACUUAGUGAAAAUUUCAAGACUUAAGCCCCUUAGGCAUGAAACUAAGAGCUUAAUUGAGAUACAAUUAGUAUGGGUUAUUACAAUAUCUCCCCCUUGGGAACAUUCAUCCUCAAAUAAGACUAGUUAGACUGAGAGUACUGAACUAAGGCAACUGCGAUCACAUACUAAACAUGCAUGACUAGGAACAUAAUUGCAUAUCUGAGUCUGAAACAUGAUACAUGAACUGAAUAUCAUAAACUGAACUAAUUUCUUAAAUACAAGUAAUGACAUCAGAAUAGUUAUAAGGCUGAGAUAGAAACGAGAGAGUCCAAUUAUGAGUAACCAUUAACUCCAGCUAGAUCUAGUUUCAUGGAGAAAAGAUGGGAGGUUUAGGACAUGAAAGCUCAGGGUAUUAAAACAUCUCCCCUUUGGGAUAGUGCAUCCCAUGAAUGAUACUGACUUGGUUUAAAUACUAAGGAAAGACUGAGAUAGUGCAUGAUGUACUUAUGAACUAAAGCAUGACUAAAUAUCUAAAUCUAAAUCAUGAUUCAUGAACUGAUCUGAAUUCAUAAUUUACAUGGAUACGAACAAAUUACCUCUUGGAAUAGCCAAACUUAUGAACUUCAAAUAGUAAGACUAGAUAGAAAGAUGGAAAACUGUAGGAAUUUAUCUGUCUAACUGCUAAACUGAAUUGCUGGCUAUACAGACUGAAUUAUGCUGAAAGCUUACACUCAACUAUACAUUCCACUUCAAAACUGCACUUCACUUAAGGCUAUUUAAAAUAUUCACAUGGGCACUAAUAACUCUGCCUACUGAAGUCUGAGCAGAACUAAAUUCUCUCACUAUGUUUAAGCCUACUCGAAUCUACAAAGUGCACACAUAAUAUUGUAAUACUAGUUUGAAUCAUGAAUUCGAUACACCCUGUGUUUUCACAACUCCUCAUCUCAUGAAUAAUUCUUAUUACCACUUCAACAACUAUACUCAACCUUUUACUAGACAUUUACUAACGUACAAUGCUUUCAUCCACAUAUAUACAACACGACAUUCAAGACUAUCUUUAUAACCACAUAUGCACUUCUAAACAAAAACCCAUAAAAUCAUAUUUCUCAUAUCCUCCAAACCUCUAUCAUUAACAAAUUUCAUGCGCUAUUCUUGAGAAAAUUACACACAUAAAAUUUUAACUAACCAUGACAUAUAUCAACACUUGUCCUUAAUCUUAAUUCACCCUUACAGUCUUAGCUAUAACAAGCAUACAACAAUCUUUCGUCAAUAAGAAAUAUUUACUCUCUCUCAUCUAAACAACAAUUCAUCAGUACUAUCUUAACCAGAGGAGAGGUCAUUGAAAGGUUAGAACAUGAGGACCUAAAGCAUAUAAGAAUAACUUUAACACAUAACUGAGGGCUGAAAAUAGAGUAUCAAUAAUAUGAAUUCAUCAAAGAGGUCUAAACUGACGACAUACAGCACAUAAAUUUAAAUUUCAUUGGUCUUUAAUAGUGUGUAAUGAGUACUUGGUACUGAGCAUGCUAUAAAGCAUAAGUACAUGAGUCAUGAGUUGUAUGUCCUGGGUUUGGAGUUUAUAAAUUCUUGGAACAUGAUUCGUACUGAUGAAUGAACUGGAACUCCUCAUACUAGAAACUAGAAGCAUACAUGAUUCCAUAAAAAGUGCAUGUAUAUGAGUAUUGAUCAUGGAUAUGACAUGUAAGGCAUGAGUAUAUAUCGUGAGGACUAAUGUACAAACUUCUUACAAAGAUAAGAAUGGGUCGGGUAUCUUUCUCCCUUACUAAUGUUCAAUAAUACUUUGGCAUCAUUGCUAGAACCUGAAAGCCUGACUUGGUUAUUUAUUCUAUCAUCUCCCCCUUAGCUUUAAGCCAUCACUAUAAUUCUAUGGACCUCUUUAAUAUAUUUAAACUGAACUGCAAUCACUUUACUAUAGAGUACGAGAUAUAACAAUACACAUAAAUAAUAAGCUCAACCUUAAAGACUACACCUAAAAGUGAAACUUCAUACUAGUAUUUCCUUCUGGGAUAUAACUUUAAACUUGAUAUAACCCAAAUGGUCAUCAUAAAAUAGAUUUAAACACUGGCUAACUUAGAAUCUUAAUAAGUAUCACCAUACAUAGAGUUCAAACUAUCAAGAAUUUUAAUACUACUUUCUAUUAGCUCAAUCUUUAAAGAUUCAAACUUAGAUUCUAAUACUAAACAUGGAUAUCCCCAAACCUUUAAUAAACCAUACUAAAUUUCUUCAUAUCCUACUAACAUCACAUCUAAACCAUGAGAAUAACUAUUAGACCAAUAAACCCAAUAUCAACAAUAUAUAAUUUCAAAUUAAUAAACUUAAAUUCUUGCAUGACUAUUUCAAGCCUAAUGAUUCACCUUUCAUAUGACUAGCCCCAUUAAUACAAAGUCUACUAAAUAUAGACAAGCACUAUCCCCACCAUUACUACUGUUAAACUUUUGGGUUCAUUCUUUCUAACUCUAGGUUAUAUGCUAUCAAAGGAUUCUGAGAAGGGAUCUAAAAGCACAUCUAAAUUUUGCUUAGUGCAAGAUUUUCAUGAACAUAAAUGAAGUCCUUCAAACUUUGGAACUUAAAAGCACUAAUGGGAUACUUUUGAGUCUAUGUGUAAUCUCAUAACUAUCUGUGGGGACUGUCUGAGAAACUCUAUUUGUAAGGAUUUAAGCUUGAAUAUUUCUAUUGCCUAAAGGAUAAAGAGGAUUUAGCAUGAAUAGAUUAAUAUAAGAGUCUUCAUAACUUCCUGAGAAAACAGCACUACUGCAUGAUCUGUGACAUAAAAAAAAGGGAAAUAUUUCUAUAAUUCACUAAAGCCUCUCAAAGAAAAAUACAGACAUCUUUGUAUCGUUCUGUAAGAAAAUAUUAGACACAACUUUAUAGACACCCUAUGAUGCUUGAACUCUGGGCUCUGAUACCAAGUUUUGUCAUGACCUGAGACUAUCCCCUAGUCAUAACACGGUGCUUGAAACUACAAGUGAUCCCAAGCUAACCCAUGAACUGGCAUACUAUUAAGCAACUAAUUUAUAAUAUAUUAGAUAGUUAGUUCUUAUGUUCAAAAAUACAACCAUGAUAAAAUAUGGGGAAAAUAUAAUACUAAUACAAUUUAAAACCUUAUAAAACUAAAGAAAGAACUAAAAUUAAAUGACUGACUCUGACUCACAUCAAUAAAGCCUCUACUAAACUGACUAUAGAUAGUUGGGACUUAACUAUAGUUACCACUAAUCAAUACAUAUGAGUAAUAAAGUAAAGUACAUGAACAACCUAUUACUGAAGUCCCCGAAGUAGAAGAACUCAUCACAUGUUGCCUAAAAAUGGCAAUUGUUUGAUCAUGACAUAUGGGCUAUAAUUCAUACCUAUAUUAUGAAAAGAUGUAGCCACAUAGACGUAUAUAUGGAUUAGUUCUUCUAUUAUGUACUAAGUAAGCAGGGGUGAAUGUAAUAAGUAAACUGAUUUUAUAUGAAAUCUUAAAGUAUGCAUGCUAAGUGUAAGUAGACUCACUAAGAGACUAAAGUAGACUAAAAGUUUAAAUAUCUUAAAACAUUAGUACUAAUAUAAUCUUAUAAGCUGGUGAAUCACUAAACUCAAAUUUUUAAAACUUUACUUUUAUAAUAUAGGUAGAACUAAAGUUAAAAGACCAUAAAACAUGGUAUUGUAUGAAUACUGGGUUAUAUAAGAUUGAACUGUACUUAGUCUGAAUAACUAUACUGAAACUAUGGAGUAAUACACAUAUAAGGUAAGGACUAACUAAAUAAUAUGAGAUAACUUAACAUGAAAUCAUGAAAAUUAUAUUAUCUGAGAAUGCAAGACUAACAUUAUAUCUAUUAUGUUACUGAGAUAAAUCUGAAAUCUAAAAGACUAAAAGCUAUAAAACUAAGCAUCUAAAAUUUUGUACACUUAGUCAAGUACACCUGAAGUAAAAGUACACUAAAUAUUGACUAAGAGUGUGAGAGCUAUCAUGCAACUAACAUAAACCAUGGAAGCUAUCAUAAAGUCCAACGUCUGACCCACAUUGAGAAGAUCUAUUUUAUCCUUGCCAUCAAAAUAGAACCUGAA